GACGAACGCUGGCGGCGUGCUUAACACAUGCAAGUCGAACGGAAAGGCCCUGCUUUUGUGGGGUGCUCGAGUGGCGAACGGGUGAGUAACACGUGAGUAACCUGCCCUUGACUUUGGGAUAACUUCAGGAAACUGGGGCUAAUACCGGAUAGGAGCUCCUGCUGCAUGGUGGGGGUUGGAAAGUUUCGGCGGUUGGGGAUGGACUCGCGGCUUAUCAGCUUGUUGGUGGGGUAGUGGCUUACCAAGGCUUUGACGGGUAGCCGGCCUGAGAGGGUGACCGGCGACAUUGGGACUGAGAGACGGCCCAGACGCCUAAGGGAGGCAGCAGUGGGGAAUAUUGCACAAUGGGCGGAAGCCUGAGGCAGAAACGCCGCGUGCGGGAUGACGGCCUUCGGGUUGUAAACCGCUGUCGCCUGUGACGAAGCGGGAGUGACGGUAAUGGGUAAAGAAGCACCGGCUAACUACGUG
rnacentral:rRNA from 1 species